rnacentral:rRNA from 1 species
GUAGGUGGCAAGCGUUGUCCGGAUUUACUGGGCGUAAAGGGCGUGCAGGCGGUCUGUUAAGUCUAGGGUGAAAGCUCCCGGCUCAACUGGGAGAGGUCCUUGGAUACUGGCAGACUUGAGGAGAGUAGAGGAGAGUGGAAUUCCCGGUGUAGUGGUGAUAUGCGUAGAUAUCGGGAGGAACACCAGUGGCGAAGGCGGCUCUCUGGGCUCUACCUGACGCUGAGACGCGAAAGCGUGGGGAGCGAACCGGAUUAGAUACCCGGGUAGUCCACGCCGUAAACUAUGGACACUAGGUGUGGGGGGUAUCGACCCCUUCCGUGCCGAAGCUAACGCAGUAAGUGUCCCGCCUGGGGAGUACGGCCGCAAGGCUA